rnacentral:rRNA from 1 species
UAGUCAUAUGCUUGUCUCAAAGAUUAAGCCAUGCAUGUCUAAGUAUAAGCAAUUAUACCGUGAAACUGCGAAUGGCUCAUUAAAUCAGUUAUCGUUUAUUUGAUAAUACCUUACUACUUGGAUAACCGUGGUAAUUCUAGAGCUAAUACAUGCUGAAAAUCCCGACUUCGGAAGGGAUGUGUUUAUUAGAUAAAAAACCAAUGCCCUUCGGGGCUUUUUGGUGAUUCAUGAUAACUUUACGGAUCGCAUAGCCUUGCGCUGGCGACGGUUCAUUCAAAUUUCUGCCCUAUCAACUUUCGAUGGUAAGGUAUUGGCUUACCAUGGUUUCAACGGGUAACGGGGAAUUAGGGUUCGAUUCCGGAGAGGGAGCCUGAGAAACGGCUACCACAUCCAAGGAAGGCAGCAGGCGCGCAAAUUACCCAAUCCCGACACGGGGAGGUAGUGACAAUAAAUACUGAUACAGGGCUCUUUUGGGUCUUGUAAUUGGAAUGAGUACAAUUUAAACCUCUUAACGAGGAACAAUU